GACGUAGGGCGCGAGCGUUGUCCGGAUUUAUUGGGCGUAAAGAGCUCGUAGGCGGCUUGUCGCGUCGACUGUGAAAACCCGCGGCUCAACUGCGGGCCUGCAGCCGAUACGGGCAGGCGUAGAGUUCGGUAGGGGAGACUGGAAUUCCUGGUGUAGCGGUGAAAUGCGCAGAUAUCAGGAGGAACACCGAUAGCGAAGGCAGCUCGCUGGGACGGUACUGACGCGUGGAGGCGACGAAAGCGUGGGGAGCGAACAGG
rnacentral:rRNA from 1 species